GUCCUACUCUAGCAGCCUAAUGCUUGCUCUUGUGAGAUUAAUCUCAUAAGAGCAAGCAUUAGGCUGCUAGAGUAGGAC